AAAAGGGGGCUCCAAGGUCCAAAACAAAAUAAACUAAACUUUAGAAAUUCUAGCAAACAUGACUUUCUUUUUAUUCCCAUCUAGCAAAGGGGCAAGAAAAGAGGGUGGAGUGAUGAAACGAUGAACACUCACCGGGAGAUUGUGGGCGUGCUUCGCCAGAGCAUCUGUGCAAAAGUUGCUCUCUUUGAAAACGUGGUUGACAUUGAAAUCUCCGGAGUUGGCUUGGAGAUCUUGAAUGGCCCGAAUAAGGGAGGUGCAACUAUGGAGAGGGAUUGAGCUAUUCUACUGCAGCUUCACUGCACAGCUGUAAUAGUGACUUUCCCAAUAUUCAUCAUGAAUCCUGCCACAAUCAUGUCGUUAGAAUCUCUAAUUAGCCCGCCACACGCACCUGAAUCCCUUGCUUGAAGAACUGAGCCGUCGACAUUAACCUUGUACCAUCCUUCAUCUGGCAGUUUCCAUCCAACUAGAACAGAGCAAGAAGCUUGGAGGAUGUCAUUACUUUUCUCAGUAAGAGCAAGAAUAUCAUGGUGGAAAAAAAAAAGUAG